UCGAUCGUAUUUCUGCAGUAUUUACAGUGUUUUGAUAGUCUUUAGCUCACUUAGCAGCUUGGAUGAGGGAGGAGUGCUAGUUGAGAGAACCAACAAUCCAAGAAAAAGGAAGCGUAAUGAAAAAUAAUGGGCCAAAAACCAGAACAAGAAAGAUCAUAACACCGCUCCUGGGAAGCAACCAGCCAUUGGAUGCCAGCACAUGCCUCACAGCUUUUGUAAGGUGUCUUUGCUAACAGAAGGAGACAUCACAGAUACUUUCCAGGACUGCUACAGAGACUCGAACAACCGCGGCAAGAUUAAUUCAUCAUGUGCCACUUACAACUCAAUCCAGUCAUGCGCCAUCAAGGAAAUGGUCCACAACCAAGGAGAGAGCGGAACUAUGCUCCAACAUUUCAAAUAACGACACAGCAAGGGGAAAAUGUGGAGGUGUGCUCCGGAAGAUUCAGAUCCAUCCUUGUACUGGUAGGAAACGUCUGGG